UCUCUGUCUGUUUCCCUCCCAGGUACACUCACUCUCGUCCUCCGUUCAGUCGGCUGGGCUCAUCUACCGGCCCUCUCCUCCUCAUACUUGCCUCACGGCGUCCUCCCUGUUCUCGGCACAGUCCUAUAGGAUAAGUGUGACAUCUGUUAGACACCAUAUAAGGGUCUGAGUCUCCACAUAACCACUGACCUCUACUCCCCCCUUAAAAGGUCACUAAUCCUCUAUCCAGCUGCUACAGUGCUAUGUUAAAGUGUUAUGUGUCAAAUGCACAUAUGUUAUACACCACACUAGACAUAGCAUAGCUGAGGUCAGCAUCCCCGAGCCACAGGCUAUGCCAAAAUAUAGCUUCAACUUCCGGCAGCCAGACUGGUGGAGAAAACAACUGGGUAGCUAAUAGCAAACUUGUCAGUGGUUAGCUGUGAUCACAGUAUAUUCAUGCUAGUUAGCUGUGGUGCUGAAGGAAGCUAAUAAGUCAAUGGCUUCUUCAACAGUAGAGAGUAUUCUCCUACCUCCACGUUUAUCCGUUAUUGUUAGUCUAGCAGGAUACCACAAUGCAGGCUUGUAAAGUCCAGACAUCACUUCCAGAUAUUUGGAUCGCUGCUGCAUUACUUCUGGCGUGUAGUCAUCAUUAAUGGCAAGUGAAGUGCCAUGGUAUUGCAGCUUAUCUUCUUUGGACCUGGCUUCACAGAUAACCAGUUCCUUGACUUGACACAUGAUUACCGCCCUCGGGCGCUGUCCUGGACUUGGUUUGGCUCCGGGUGCCCAAUGAGCCCUGUUACACUCCGGGACUGAAGGAAGGACAUCCUUGCUAAUAACCUCAUCCAACAGCUUGGCAAAAAGGUGGUGGAAUAAGUUCCUUCAAUGGUUUCAGAUACAGGAAAUUAUGGAGAGAGAGUGGAAGACAUACAGGAAAGGGCCCAAGGAUGAACUCGAAUUCAGGCCACUGCAAUAAGGACUCAGCCUAGUACAUGGGGCAUGCUCUACCAAAUGAGGUACCUGCGCCCCACCAGUGGGAUUAGAUUGUCAUCUUGGCAACGCCAUGUCACUCGGAAGGUGACGCUUGCAACAGCAGCAGACGCAAAGGAGCAGACCUAUUAGGAUGUACUUCAUGUUGGUGGUCCAGAAGGCAAAAAGGUAGAGCGUCUUGUUGCAGUAAGGAUCCAAGUCUGUUAUUGUCUUACUGUAGUUGGGUUCAUAGAUUGAGUAGAUCCACACAUUACCUACAGUAGAGAAAAGGAAGCCCAUAGUGCACAGCGUUCAAAAAUGAAGGGCUGUUUUACUUCUCUUCAUCUAAUAAAUGCAGAUGUUUCACCGUUACGGCUAUUGGAUUUCAUUUGUAACAUGUAGAGGCAUGAUGGGGACAUCUAGUGAUUAUUAAUAUUAUUGCAGUGCGUGAAGAGAAAGCUCUGAUGUUGUGGUGCAGUGUUGAAUCUACUGCUCCAGUUUUUGAACUUUCCGGUGAUGAACCAGCACAAGAGGAAGGCAAUUGUCAGGCCUCUGAAGGAAGUGUUAGACGAGAGGUGGUUGAGUCGCAGGAAGGGGAGCCAAAUUAACAGCAGUUUGUAGCCUCCCAUUACCUCCAAGUAGAUGGGGAUGUAGUGCUGCUUUGGGCAGUCAUUUUGGUACAGUGCUCCUGUUAGACACGUGGAUAAGGAUCUGAACUUUGGGAAAAUAUAUUUUAAAUGAUGCAAAAGACUUCUAAAGUUUGUGAUGUAGUGAUGCAUUGUUUGCAAUAAGAAAAACAUAAAAUGAUCCUUAAGCUUUAAAGGAUUUAAAAUGAUAGAUACGAUCUGAAAAACACCUUGUUAGAAGGAAGAGCACUCGUAGUCACUCACCAAUUGUUAUCUGAGUGACCGGCAAGAUGCUGAGAAUCACCUUGGAGCAUGCUGUUGAAACCCAGACAGAACAUAUUUUAAAGUAAUCACUGACACCUACUGCUGUUACAUGCAGCAACUAUACACGCUGUGAGGAUGAUUCAACUAUGACCACAAGCAUACAUCACCAUCUCUCACCUACUGCAGCUGUUGAGGGUCUGCGGGCGUCUUCACUUGUGCCACUUUCUGUCAUGAUCACUAAUGGUAAGUCUAACCUACAAGCUGAGGAUGUAGAGUCUGAAAGGUGACAGAAAAAUCCUGAAAAAUGUUUUUCAUUUAACAAAAGACAAGUGCAAAACAGCCCCUUUUACUAUCCAUGGUUGUAACAAACUUGAGGGCAGAUUGCAAACUUUCUCUAGCAGAAAACCUGAUAGAAUAGCCAGAUCUUUUAUACCUUUCUGCGUGUCAGAUGUGCUGUAUCUCCCCGAUGGCUGGAAAUUAAAGUAAAGCGUUUUCAAGCAAGAACUUGUUGUUAUGUGUUGCUGGAUUGUGACGUCUGCAGGUCACAGAAAGUGUGCGUCAGACAUCCUGGUUUCAACAUCCGGCUUCUUGAUGCUUCAUUUCAGCCAUUUCCAUUACAAUGGUGGGAAUGAGGACGAUUGGAGUGAAGCCAAACAGCAAUUCAGGUCCCAUAAAUAAUUAUGCAUUAUUUUGCAUACGAGACACAUUUUAAUAUUGUGUAAAAUGUUUGUUGUUUGCAUUGAGUCAGUGCCCGUAUCAGUUAAAAUGCCGCCCCUCCUUUGGAGAAGAUUUAGAGGAAUGUAUCCAAAUAUAGAUUUGGAGUCUAAAUUUUGUAUCAGAAGGAAGUAUACUGUGUGUGGACUUUGUUGUGGUAGACCAGAACUUAGAUAUAUCUGCUUACUAGAGGUCCCAUUUCUACACAAUUCCCAUAUGACAUGUUUGUGAAUGUUUCUCUUUUCGUGUGUGCCUCACUUUAAAUGUCCUUUCACUUCUUCUUCCUGAGUCUAAAACGUAAACAGAUUCCCAGAUGCCACAGGACAAAGAAGUCAUAAACACUGGAUUGUCUGUUGCAUUUUGAGAAGGAUAUUCUUGCGAGCUAGCCAAUUCUUAUUGUUGAAGUUUUCAGGAAACUCAGGAUGUCUUAAGCAGCAAGAUUAAUUGAAGCCCGGCCGAGGAGGAAAAGGCAUCAGCAGCACAGAGUAUCAUGCCAAACCAAAUCUGCUGCUUCCUUUCUGCUCCAAAUAUUUAUCCCUUUGCUCCCAUAGGGUCUACGACGUAUCUCAUACAAGGGCAUUCUACUUCUACACCUGUAAGUGAUCCCGAGCGGGACACUUAUAUGACAUGACUCCUGUGUACACAACUUCAAAAUUGAUGUCGAUAAUUUUGAGCUACAAAAAGAUUUGGAAUCCCGGCAGUGGAUGGCUACAGUGAAAUGGUUCACCACUGCUGGUCUGAAGAACUGAACAUUUCUAGACCUUGGCCAUCUACAGUUACAUUCACAGUGUCUCUCUCUCUGCAUCUUAAAUACACAUGUGCAGCAUGACCUCAAUACGCAAAACAUGUCCAUAGCAUCAAGUAUUGAAACCUGGUCAUGUACUGAACAUUGCAUUAAAUGUGUGGGAAAACUCUGUGAUCAGACAUUUGAUUGAUCCGAUUAAGAAACUUUACUUUAGAUUGCAUUUCAUUAAUAGUUUGUGUAUUGCCGCUUGUGUUAAGGCAACAUGUAACGCUGAUCAUUGGGAAGUUUGGAAUGUUUUGCUAAAUGAGAAAAGGGCGUUUCUACAAAAAAUUAAACUGAGGUAUUGACAAAACAUUUUGUUUUGGUAUUCACAAUGAAACUCAAGUAUUGUGUUGUACUACCACUGAAAAAUGUCAUAAUAUAUUAACCCUAAAAACAUUAUAAAGGAAAAACUCGAGCUCUUUCAUUAUUCAUUGUACUUUGUCUGAGAGAUAUAACUUUAUAUACACAGAAAACUGUAUAUGUUCAAACAUACUUUUUCAUAAUACUGUUGUAAAAAAUUAGAACUGUCAAAAGAGAAUAAACAUACAAUUGUAAGUAUUAUACUGUAUUUUGAAUGUAAAUGAUAAUAUUUCUGUGAUAAUGAUGGAUAAGAAUAAACCAUGUGAUGCUGGUGCUUCA